UAUCCAUGACUAUGAGAAAUUUGGCUUUUUUAUUGGUAGUAAUAAUUUGGCUUUGUUGUUUUUUUUUGCAGUAAUGAUGCACUAAUUUGAGUAGGGGUUGUAUCUUCCGCAUGAAAGAAUGAUUCACCUCCCUUCACACGAGCUAAUUGAUGGAUUGCAAUAUUGCAAAAAUAUCGCUUCAAGAUCUGUCUAGAGAGAUUUUGGAGUGC
rnacentral:lncRNA from 1 species